CAUCCCAGCCUUGGAUUCAUUAAAGCCUGCUAAUGAAGAUUAGAAGAUAGGUAUAGAAAUUAUUAAAAGAGCACUUAAAAUUCCUGCAAUGACGAUUGCUAAGACUGCAGGUUGUUGAAGGAUCUUUGAGAGUUCAAAAAAUUCUGCAGAGCUCCUCAGAAGUUGGUUAUGAUGCCAUGCUUGGAGAUUUUGUGAACAUGGUGAGAAAGGGAAUCAUUGAUCCAACAAAGGUUGUAAGAACUGCUUUACUGGAUGCUCCUGGGGUGGCCUCCUUGCUAUCUACAGCCGAAGCUGUAGUGACAGAAAUUCCUAAAGAAGAGAAAGACCCUGGAAUGGGUGCAAUGGGUGGGAUGGGAGGGGGUGUGGGAGGUGGCAUGUUCUAAGUCCUAGAAUAGUGCUUUGCCCUUAUCAAUGAACUGUGACAGGAAGCUCAAGGCAGGUUCCUCACCAAUAACUUCAGAGAAGUCACCUGAAGAAAAUGACUGAAGAGACGGCUGGCUGAUCACUGUAACCAUCAGUGACUGGUUUCCUUUAACAGUACAUAAUGGUUUACUGCUGUCAUUGUCCAUGCCUACAGAUAAUUUAUUUUGUAUUUUUGAAUAAAGACAUUUGUACAUCCCUGAUGCUGGGUGCAAGAGCCAUAUACCAGUGUCCUGCUUUCAACUUAAAUCACUGAGGCAUCUCCACUGUUAGCAUCAGGACUGUAGCGCUGUGUCACCACAUGAGAAGUUCGGAAGCAGCCUUUCUGUGGAGGGUGAGAAUGAUUGUGUACAGAGUAGAGAAGUAUACAAUUAUGUGACAACCUUUGUGUAAUAAAAUUUUGUUUAAAG
rnacentral:lncRNA from 1 species